GGGAUUACCUCAGUAACGGCGAGUGAAGCGGUAACAGCUCAAAUUUGAAAUCUGGCUCUUUCAGGGUCCGAGUUGUAAUUUGUAGACGAUGCUUUGGGUGUGGUGCCGGUCUAAGUUCCUUGGAACAGGACGUCAUAGAGGGUGAGAAUCCCGUAUGUGAUCGGUCGCCUUCGCCCGUGUAAAGCUCGUUCGACGAGUCGAGUUGUUUGGGAAUGCAGCUCAAAAUGGGUGGUAAAUUUCAUCUAAAGCUAAAUAUUGGCCAGAGACCGAUAGCGCACAAGUAGAGUGAUCGAAAGAUGAAAAGCACUUUGGAAAGAGAGUUAAACAGUACGUGAAAUUGUUGAAAGGGAAGCGCUUGCAACCAGACUUGGGCUGUCGCAAUCAUCCGGGGCUCGCCCCGGUGCACUUGUGGCGGCACAGGCCAGCAUCAGUUUCGGUGGUGGGAUAAAGGCCUUGGGAAUGUAGCUUCUUUCGGGGAGUGUUAUAGCCCUCGGUGCAAUGCCGCCUACCGGGACUGAGGACCGCGCUUCGGCUAGGAUGCUGGCGUAAUGGUUGUAAGCGACCCGUCUUGAAACACGGACCAAGGAGUCUAACAUCUAUGCGAGUGUUUGGGUGUCAAACCCAUACGCGUAAUGAAAGUGAACGGAGGUGAGAACCCGUUAGGGUGCAUCAUCGACCGAUCCUGAUGUCUUCGGAUGGAUUUGAGUAAGAGCAUAGCUGUUGGGACCCGAAAGAUGGUGAACUAUGCCUAAAUAGGGUGAAGCCAGAGGAAACUCUGGUGGAGGCUCGCAGCGGUUCUGACGUGCAAAUCGAUCGUCAAAUUUGGGUAUAGGGGCGAAAGACUAAUCGAACCAUCUA
rnacentral:rRNA from 1 species